rnacentral:rRNA from 1 species
GAUGAACGCUAGCGGCGGGCCUAAUACAUGCAAGUCGAACGGAUAUAUGUUUUUCGGAAUAUAUUAGUGGCGCACGGGUGAGUAACACGUACAUAACUUGCCCUCAAGCGGGGGAUAGCCUUGGGAAACUGAGAGUAAUACCCCAUAGAAUUAUUGGACGGCAUCGUUUGAUAAUUAAAACUACGGUGUUUGGGGAUAGAUGUGCGUCUGAUUAGCUAGUUGGUGAGGUAACUGCUCACCAAGGCGACGAUCAGUAGGGGGCGUGAGAGCGUGGCCCCCACACGGUACGUNAGGCACGACCCGGACCUCCUACGGGAGGCGAGCGAGUAAAGGAAAGUAAUUGGUUCGAAUAGGAGGGGAACGUACUGAA